UACGAAGGGGGCUAGCGUUGCUCGGAAUUACUGGGCGUAAAGGGCGCGUAGGCGGACAGGUUAGUCAGAGGUGAAAGCCCAGGGCUCAACCUUGGAAUUGCCUUUGAUACUGGCUGUCUUGAGUUCGGGAGAGGUGAGUGGAAUGCCGAGUGUAGAGGUGAAAUUCGUAGAUAUUCGGCGGAACACCAGUGGCUAAGGCGACUCACUGGCCCGAUACUGACGCUGAGGCGCGAAAGCGUGGGGAGCAAACAGG
rnacentral:rRNA from 1 species